rnacentral:rRNA from 1 species
GAUUCCCCUAGUAACUGCGAGUGAAGCGGGAAAAGCUCAAAUUUGAAAUCUGGCAGUCUAUUUUUUCUUCUUUGGCUGUCCGAGUUGUAAUCUAGAGAAGUGCUUACCUGCACUGGACCAUGUAUAAGUCUCCUGGAAUGGAGCGUCACAGAGGGUGAGAAUCCCGUCUUUGACAUGGACUGCCAGUGUGUUGUGGUGUGCUCUCAAAGAGUCGAGUUGUUUGGGAAUGCAGCUCUAAAUGGGUGGUAAACUCCAUCUAAAGCUAAAUAUUGGCGAGAGACCGAUAGCGAACAAGUACCGUGAGGGAAAGAUGAAAAGGACUUUGGAAAGAGAGUUAAACAGUAUGUGAAAUUGUUGAAAGGGAAACGCUUGAAGUCAGUUAUGUUGGCUAGGGAUCAACCUAGCUGUCUUUUGCUGGGUGAAUUUCCUAGUCUGACAGGCCAACAUCAGUCUUGACUGCUGGAAAAGAGCAGAGGGAAUGUGGCACCUUCGGGUGUGUUAUAGCCCUUUGUCAUAUGUGGCGGUUGGGACUGAGGGAUGCAGCGUGCCGCGAGGCUGGGUUUCGACCACGUUCACGCUUAGGAUGUUGGCUUUUAAUGGCUUCAAUCGACCCGUCUUGAAACACGGACCAAGGAGUCUAACAUGCCUGCAAGUGUUUGGGUGGAAAACCCUUGCGCACAAUGAAAGUGAAAGUUGAGAUCCCUGUCAUGGGGAGCAUCGACGCCCGGACUUGAGCUUUUAGCGACGGAUCCGCGGUAGAGCAUGCAUGUUGGGACCCGAAAGAUGGUGAACUAUGCCUGAAUAGGGCAAAGCCAGAGGAAACUCUGGUGGAGGCUCGUAGCGAAUUCUGACGUGCAAAUCGAUCGUCAAAUUUGGGUAUAG